rnacentral:lncRNA from 1 species
GCCGUAACUAGCCUCUUUUGAUAGUGAUCGAGGCAAACUAUAUUUUCUCCGAGCGUAUCGAGGCGAAAAAAAUUUGACGAGGGGUUUGGGAGCCGCUCAAGGCCCCAGAAGCUCUGAGAAAAUUAACGCAAAAUCGUGCAUUCUGCGCAUAUUCCGACUCUUUCUUACAUUGAAACGCAAUUGAUUUUUAGCUAAUUUUUUGACAAUAUUCUGGCCUCAAAGCAAAAACAUAGAUUCAUUGUAAUUUAAGACUUUCAAGCUUUAGUGACAACAUUAAAAGACCGAUAUGUAGGAUAAAGCAAAAAUCGUAAAUCUCAUAAUUAUUAAACU